GGAAAAUCAGUGACAUUAGAUUGUACAUAUACGACAACUUCAGCAAACCAUACCUCUUCUGGUACAUCCAGAGAGCAAAUGACCUUCCUAGAUAAAUCCUGAGGAGAGAAACGUUUGGAACUGGAGAAAAUGGCACUGAGUUUCAUGAGAGAUUUCACUCUGAAGUGUCAUCAGAUUCAGUUCCACUGACAAUCAAGAGUAUGCGUGUUUCUGACUCUGCUGUGUACUACUGUGCUCUGAGGCCCACAGUGAGAAAACUCAAGUCAAAGCACAUACAAAACACUGAAUUGCAAUCUAGAAUGUGCUUCUCUUGUUUAGAAUAGGAAAUGUUGCCUUUGCUUUUGAAUGCUCAUUUAAUACACAGAGUUCUAUUAUCAAAAGUGUAAUUAUCAAUUUAAUUAACAAUUAAAUACAAAUAAAUAUAUUAUACAGUAUUCAACAACCUAUUGAUGAAAGUGUACAGCAGCAGGAAGUUCAGAGAGGAGGAAGUUCCUGUGAGUGUUUGUGACUGAUCUGCAGUGACUUACAGCUCAGAGCACUGAGAGCCUCAACAGAGAACUGAACUGAUCUGAUUGAACAUGGACAGAUGCUUCAUACUGAUCCUCAUCGUGGGAACAGGUUUGGUGGCUGGAGACAGCAUUGAUCCAGAUAAAGGGACAGAAAAAAACUCUCAAGAAACACAAACUGUCAAGAUGAGCUGCUCAUAUACUACAAGUAGUGAAAAUGUUUGGCUUUACUGGUACAGACAGUAUCCCAACAGAGAACCACAAUAUUUAUUGCUCAAAGGUGCACGAUCAAGUAGCUCUGAUAAACACACCUCUGAUAAUCGGUUUCAGUCGACUGCAUCACGUUCAUCCACUGAACUCACUAUCACUGAUGUACGUCUGUCAGAUUCAGCUCUCUAUUAUUGUGCUCUAAGAGUAGUAGCCCAGUGAUACAAAAUAUGAGACAUGUCAUACAAAAACCUGAAGCUAUUUUCACUUUGAAAUUAUCUAGUAAAAACCACAAUCAAAACCCAAAUCUAUCAAGCCCCCAAUGUAAUAAAAUAUGUGGUCACACCUGUGUAAGACUGAAUUAGGCUUUUAUUAUAAGGCAUAAAUGUAUAAGAGAAUCUUCAGAAUUAUUUUUUAACAUUUUUCCAGAUAUCAUU